UACGUAGGGGGCUAGCGUUGUCCGGAAUCAUUGGGCGUAAAGCGCGUGUAGGCGGUUCGGUAAGUCCGCUGUGAAAGUCGGGGGCUCAACCCUCGAAUGCCGGUGGAUACUGUCGGGCUAGAGUGCGGAAGAGGCGAGUGGAAUUCCUGGUGUAGCGGUGAAAUGCGCAGAUAUCAGGAGGAACACCAAUUGCGAAGGCAGCUCGCUGGGACGUAACUGACGCUGAGACGCGAAAGCGUGGGGAGCAAACAGG
rnacentral:rRNA from 1 species